rnacentral:rRNA from 1 species
AUUGAACGCUAGCGGCAUGCUUAACACACGCAAGUCGAACGGUAGCAGACCUAGCUUGCUAGGUGCUGACGAGUGGCGGACGGGUGAGUAACGCGUAGGAAUUUACUUUGUAGUGGGGGAUAACUUGGGGAAACCCAAGCUAAUACCGCAUGAGCCCUAAGGGGGAAAGCGUGGGACCGAAAGGCCACGUGCUAUGAGAUGAGCCAGCGUCGGAUUAGCUAGUUGGUAGGGUAAAGGCCUACCAGGGCGAGGAUCCGUAGCUGGUCUGAGAGGACGACCAGCCACACUGGGACUGAGACACGGCCCAGACUCCUACGGGAGGCAGCAGUGGGGAAUAUUGGACAAUGGGCGCAAGCCUGAUCCAGCAAUGCCGCGUGUGUGAAGAAGGCCUGCGGGUUGUAAAGCACUUUCGGUGGGGAGGAAGGCUCAACGGUUAAUAGUCGUUGGGAUUGACGUUACCCACAGAAGAAGCACCGGCUAACUCUGUGCCAGCCGCCGCUGUAAGAC